AGUGAACGCUGGCGGUAGGCCUAACACAUGCAAGUCGAACGGCAGCACAGUAAGAGCUUGCUCUUAUGGGUGGCGAGUGGCGGACGGGUGAGGAAUACAUCGGAAUCUACUUUUUCGUGGGGGAUAACGUAGGGAAACUUACGCUAAUACCGCAUACGACCUUCGGUGAAAGCAGGGACCUUCGGGCCUUGCGCGAUUGA
rnacentral:rRNA from 1 species